AUACAAAAUCGUUCCUAAGAUUUAACUUGAUUUUAAAAAUUGUCCUUAACUUAGAGACCAAAAUCGUACAGAGAUAGCGGUAAAAGUAGAGGCAGAGAUUGUGUCACACUAUCAUAGUCAACACUCAACUCAAGACAUUGAGUCAAUGUCUAUCGUUGCAAAACAGCAUCAAGAAUUCCAUUUCUCUUUCGAGGUUCUAGCCGGUGUUAAUUGAAGCGGAAGAUCAUAAAUUCUUAUCAGAUCUAGCAGCGAUAGUUUGAGCUUACAAGUGAGACUUUUUCUGAAAGUACAAGAUAUAUAUUUGAUUUUGAAAUGGCUAUUAACAUCGUUGGUGCGAUCAUGGGAGUUAUGAGCUGCCUCUGUACACAGAACUGUCUUCAAGAAUCACUUGGUCAUCAUAUUAGACACCUUAGAAGAUUCAAAAGGAAUUUGAACAUGCUCAAGUCAUUGUUGAAGGAGCUAGAUGCCCAAAAAAUUGAUAUGUGGGCCAAGCUAAAUCAAAGGUGGCUUCAAAAAGGGAUGAAUCCAAAGAAAGAAGUAGAAUUAUAGCUGAAACAUGUUGAUGAGAUUGCAAAUGAAGUAAAUAAGAUCAUCAGAAAAGUUGAACAAGAAAGUGGAAGCACAAGUUUUCUCUCCAUUUUAUUAUAGUUCAAGAAUAAAGAGGGGAGAAUGAAAGGGUAUUGUAGUAAAAAUUUACUUAUAAAAAAAAAUUAUUCUAUUAUGUAUGAAGAAGUAAUAGCAAGUUCAAUGGAAUAGUAAAUUAAUAAGUACUAAAUGAUGUGAUAAUAACAAUUGAAAUCAUAAAAGAAUUAAGAAAUAUAAGUUCAGUUGCAUCUCAGCUACAGUGAACAUCCAUUAAGGAACCUGGAAAGGGAGGAAGAGAUUUAAAAGCAGGAAAGGGAUAACAGGAAGAAGAAUAGAAGAAUAAAAGGUUCUGAGAAUUUGUCAUUAGGUAUAUGGGAAGAGAAUUUACCACAACAUGCCUAAAGAGCAUAUCCUUGCAACCUCCUGCUAAUAACCUUCUCUCUGGCACUAUGCCUCGGUCCCCUCUCAUCCUGAUCAAUU